GACGAACGCUGGCGGCGUGCUUAACACAUGCAAGUCGAACGGAAAGGCCUCUUUCUGGGGGUACUCGCGUGGCGAACGGGUGAGUAACUCAUGAGUAACCUGCCCUUGACUUUGGGUUAACUUCCGUCAACUGGGGCUAAUACCGGACAGGAGCUCCUGCUGCCUGGAGGGGGUUGGAGAGUUUCGGGCGUUUGGGGUCGCUUGGCGGCUUAUCCGCUUGUUGGUGGGGUGUUGGCUUACCAAGGCUUUGACGGGUAGCCGGCCUGAGAGGGUGACAGGCCACACUGGGACUGAGAGGCGGCCGAGACUCCUACGGGAGGCAGCAGUGGGGAAGAUUGCACAAGGGGUGGAGGCCGGAUGCAGAAGGGCUGUGGGCGGGAUGACGGCGUUCGUGUGGUAGACCGAAUUCGCACAUGACGAAGCUUGGUGUGACGGUAGUGGGUAAAGAAGCACCGGCUAACUACGUG
rnacentral:rRNA from 1 species